CGGGGGGGGGGGCAAGCGUUGUUCGGAAUUACUGGGCGUAAAGGGCGCGCAGGCGGGGGGCGGGAAAGUCUCUCGUGAAAUCCCACGGGCUCAACCGUGGAACUGCGGGAGAUACUACUCGUCUUGAGUUCGGGAGAGGAGUGUGGAAUUCCCAGUGUAGCGGUGAAAUGCGUAGAUAUUGGGAGGAACACCGGUGGCGAAGGCGGCACUCUGGACCGGUACUGACGCUGAGGCGCGAAAGCUAGGGGAGCAAACGGGAUUAGAUACCCCGGUAGUCCUAGCUGUAAACGCUGAGCACUUGGUGUAGCGGGUAUCGACCCCUGCUGUGCCGAAGCUAACGCAUUAAGUGCUCCGCCUGGGGAGUACGGUCGCAAGGCUG
rnacentral:rRNA from 1 species